CUACAGGCUUAACACAUGCAAGUCGAGGGGCAGCAUUUCAGUUUGCUUGCAAACUGGAGAUGGCGACCGGCGCACGGGUGAGUAACACGUAUCCAACCUGCCGAUAACUCGGGGAUAGCCUUUCGAAAGAAAGAUUAAUACCCGAUGGUAUAAUCAGACCGCAUGGUCUUGUUAUUAAAGAAUUUCGGUUAUCGAUGGGGAUGCGUUCCAUUAGGCAGUUGGUGAGGUAACGGCUCACCAAACCUUCGAUGGAUAGGGGUUCUGAGAGGAAGGUCCCCCACAUUGGAACUGAGACACGGUCCAAACUCCUACGGGAGGCAGCAGUGAGGGAUAUUGGUCAAUGGGCGCAGGCCUGAACCAGCCAAGUAGCGUGAAGGAUGACUGCCCUAUGGGUUGUAAACUUCUUUUAUAUGGGAAUAAAGUUUUCCACGUGUGGAAUUUUGUAUGUACCAUAUGAAUAAGGAUCGGCUAACUCCGUGCCAGCAGCCGCGGUAAUACGGAGGAUCCGAGCGUUAUCCGGAUUUAUUGGGUUUAAAGGGAGCGUAGGUGGACAGUUAAGUCAGUUGUGAAAGUUUGCGGCUCAACCGUAAAAUUGCAGUUGAUACUGGCUGUCUUGAGUACAGUAGAGGUGGGCGGAAUUCGUGGUGUAGCGGUGAAAUGCUUAGAUAUCACGAAGAACUCCGAUUGCGAAGGCAGCUCACUGGACUGCAACUGACACUGAUGCUCGAAAGUGUGGGUAUCAAACAGGAUUAGAUACCCUGGUAGUCCACACAGUAAACGAUGAAUACUCGCUGUUUGCGAUAUACAGUAAGCGGCCAAGCGAAAGCAUUAAGUAUUCCACCUGGGGAGUACGCCGGCAACGGUGAAACUCAAAGGAAUUGACGGGGGCCCGCACAAGCGGAGGAACAUGUGGUUUAAUUCGAUGAUACGCGAGGAACCUUACCCGGGCUUAAAUUGCAUUUGAAUAUAUUGGAAACAGUAUAGCCGUAAGGCAAAUGUGAAGGUGCUGCAUGGUUGUCGUCAGCUCGUGCCGUGAGGUGUCGGCUUAAGUGCCAUAACGAGCGCAACCCUUAUCUUUAGUUACUAACAGGUCAUGCUGAGGACUCUAGAGAGACUGCCGUCGUAAGAUGUGAGGAAGGUGGGGAUGACGUCAAAUCAGCACGGCCCUUACGUCCGGGGCUACACACGUGUUACAAUGGGGGGUACAGAAGGCAGCUACCUGGUGACAGGAUGCUAAUCCCAAAAGCCUCUCUCAGUUCGGAUCGAAGUCUGCAACCCGACUUCGUGAAGCUGGAUUCGCUAGUAAUCGCGCAUCAGCCAUGGCGCGGUGAAUACGUUCCCGGGCCUUGUACACACCGCCCGUCAAGCCAUGAAAGCCGGGGGUACCUGAAGUACGUAACCGCAAGGAGCGUCCUAGGGUAAAACUGGUAAUUGGGGCUAAG
rnacentral:rRNA from 1 species